AGUGGCGGACGGGUGAGUAACGCGUGGGUAACCUGCCUCAUACAGGGGGAUAACAGUUAGAAAUGACUGCUAAUACCGCAUAAGCGCACAGUACCGCAUGGUACGGUGUGAAAAACUCCGGUGGUAUGAGAUGGGCCCGCGUCUGAUUAGGUAGUUGGUGGGGUAACGGCCUACCAAGCCGACGAUCAGUAGCCGACCUGAGAGGGUGACCGGCCACAUUGGGACUGAGACACGGCCCAA
rnacentral:rRNA from 1 species